AGCCAAUCAUAUUCAUCCGAGAUGCUAACUGGCAAGUAAGCGUCCACACACGGAACACGUGGGUGGGUCCGUCAACUUUAAACCAACCUUCAGGCUCCCAGGCAUUUCACUGCUCUAUACUUCGGAAUGUUUACCGAGAUCAAUUUGUGACUUCGUGUUGAAGAAUACAGAACUAUUGAACGCCUCUUUCGAUAGAAUCAAUGUUUCAUCAGAGCAGAUACGAAGAUGAGUCCGGCCGAACGUCAACUUGUCAAGGAAUGAAGAGAGCAUGUGAUUCGAAUCGGAAUCAUGCGCCGAACAGCUUCAGCAUACCUAUUACUACAUACGGAGUAUGGAGACACCAUUCUUGUCUUGGAAGGAGAGGAGAAAACAGAAGGCUUCUAGAAAACAAGCAAAUAUUGGCAAAACUUUCCAGAGCGCCUUGGCUGGAGCGAUCAAGCCACCAUGGUCAGCCAAGGGGGUCGCACGCAGGUGCUAUGGGCGAUCUUAUGCAGGGCCAAGCACAUAGUUCACGUGCAGUUUGCAGCGAACGAAAAAUACAGUAAGCGUGGAACUAGCAGACCCGCAAUCUCGAGCGUCUAGAAGGAUUUUCGAAGCUUUUUGGACAAUACGCGAGCUGGCGGCGUUCAACACGAGUCUUACUCGCUUAUCAGAUGCUACACCAAUCUACAAGACCCCCGAGUGAGGCUUGUGCCCGUCGCGUCGCGUCACAAAUACCUUUUUUGCAAGCAAUAUGCCGCGUUUUUCGUGGAUCUUACGUUCUUGUCGGCUGCCUCCGAGAUGAUGGAUCCACAAGCCAUGCAAUAGUCCCAUUUUCUACUUGCUCGUACAUGCAUGGAGACAUGAAAAUUUUCAUGUUGCGGCUAGAGUUAGACACUCGGAAGGUAUGCCUUGCAGGCGAAGGAAUUGGUUCCGAACCGGAAUGCUGUGAAAAGCAUGGAAGUCUUAAACACGGAGGGGGCCAUGGUAGGAUGGGGCUUCGUUAUAGGCCAAGCGUGUUAAAUGAGGGUCUCGAACUUGUCAUUGUCUACCUGAAAGAGUCUUAGGGUGACGCUGUACUACACAGAUGCAGCAAUCCACCUUCCGAGUCGUGUAGCAGGUAAUAUGGUAUCGACUAGUAACGAAGCCCUGCGCACGGAAGGCAAUGACUCGAUACGGAUAUGGCUUGCAGCUGCGACAUUAGUAAUACGUACGUACUUCUUCUGGUAAGUUGUGCCACCGGGUAGUUAAGACUCUCGGCACGGACAAUUCAUCUCGAUCUCAGCUUGGCUGCGCCUUUUCCCAUGGAUAUGGAACGCCAUGCAUUCUUGUCAAUUGCUUGUCGAUGCUUGAGUCAGCCUGAAGUUUAUCGUGCAUUUACUGAAUAAUAGUGCCGAUGUUAUUAAUGUGUACAGUCAGAGCAGUACGAGUACGUAGUAACUACUACAGUAACUUUGUUACUCCGUACAACAUGCCAUAUGGUCAAAGUCAGAACGUGUACGAAGUAGUAUUAUUAGUCAUGAAUAGAAAUUGCUUUUGAUUGCGUUACACGCGGCUGCGGCUGCACCACCUGACAGGCCCAGGCUGACCUUGAGUUCGCCCAAACUAUUUGCAGCGAUCGUGAUGAUUCAUCGUGUUGCACAUGGCGUACGGGAGACUCGAGUCUACCAGCUAAUUGAGUCUCUGAUCUACGUCGAACAUGUCUCAUCUGUUGUUCCAGCCAGGAAAGUAUAUACAGAUGAUUUAAUUGUGAUGUACAGAGUACCUCAUCUCCAACGCUCACAACAAUUAAGCUGUACAUAAAUGCAUUGUGCUACUCCCGAGCACUCGUAGCAGAUGA
rnacentral:lncRNA from 1 species